GGCUCCUUGAUGGCGGAGAACUUGACUUCCGGGUGCAGCCGGAGGCGGUCGUAGAGGUCGGUGGUGCCGCACUUGGGCUGCCCGAUGAUGUAGAAGCGCGGCAGGCAGCGGAGGCGGAAGUGCUUCCCGCUGGCGUGCGACAGGUGGCCCCAGAAGGCCUUGCGCAGGGCGUCGAAGGUGGAGCGGAAGCGCUUGGAGUAGAGCACGUAGGAGUUGGUCAGGUACGGGUCGGUGGUGUUCCUGCCCGUGAACUCCUCGUACCAACACGGGCUCUUGCUAUUUGGAAGAAAUUUAUUGGGGAUUACUGAAAACAUCUGCAGCGGGAGAGAGAGAGGGGGAGAGAGACACCCGGAGGCGGCGAAUUAGCGAAAAACACGUUCUAAGCACGAUGCGGUCACGCCCGAUGCUCGCUACGGGUGUUCUCGCGAGAAGUCUCCUUGGACAAUAGCUAAACCCGAAAAUAAAGCAGACCUGGGUGUGUAUUUAAAUGACCCCAUUCGAGGCAAAAAUACUAAUGAGGACACAAUAGGAGCAGGACGACGGUGAUCUACAAAAACAACGGCAACCACCCCAGCCACCUUUCAAGUCCUACGAUGGCAUUACGGGAAGGGGUGGCCCUGCGCCCCUGCUACCCGGACUUCCCUCCUGGGGGCGAACACCGUCAACGGAGAGCCCUGGCACAGUGCCCUCUGAUCCAUGAGGCUGUCAAGUCCCCCUUGUUACACCUGAGACAUUUUUGGGUCACGUUUCUUUACUGUGUUCCCAAAGGUGGUGAUGGAAAAGGAAGCAUCUGUUUAAAAAAAAAAAAAAUCAGCAAAUGGAGAUUAGCACAAGGCUACUCACGUGCAAUUCUUGCUUCUUGAGAUCUUCUAUGUCUGGGAGCUGCCUGGUGGUGAACUCUAUCCUGGCUGUGAUGCUGUUGAUAAUUAAUUUAAUGCUUGGGUAGUCUUUGACAUACGAAAUAUUAUUUACAGAGGGUUGGUGAUGGUGCUCUUUCCCGUCACUCGGGUUUUCACCGUCCAUCAAGCUGGGAUUGCUGGGGAAGGCUCCGUAAUGGAAAGGCGAGGAGAUGAGAAGCUCUUGGUGGGCCCCAGAAAGGAUGUAAGACGCCAUCACCAAGGUCAUUAUCAUCAAUCCAAAAACGAGGCUGCAUCGCUUCCCCUUCUUGAAGCGCAGAAACCUGCCCCAGCUCUCGUUCCCCUCAGCCCUCACCUCGAGAACAGCAAGCAAGUUCAUCUGCUUACCGUCCACACGAAGCACAAUUUUGUUCUCGCCCUUGCACGCGGGGCACUCCGGGUGACUGUGAAGAGGGCCUCCUCCGCAGCCCACCUGCUGUUUGCGCUCGUUGUUGGGCAACAACUGUAUGCAGCAAUUAAUGCAGUGCCUCAUGGUAAUGCCCUUGGACUGCUGGCGCACAGAGCCAUGGGCGAGCCCCUGAGGAGCCCAGAUAUAUGCAAGGUGUGCUGGAAAACGUUAAAGGAGGUCUUUUGAUUAUACGAGAUGGUUUUAAGGCACCAGCAACGGAAACAAAUAUAAUGUAAAAAUGAGUAGGCACCAACGCACUAGAGAACGAGGAAGGGCCUUCUUUGGUUCAAGUUUGAAAGACAACAAAAAGAAGUGAUCUCCAAUUGUCAUGUUCUGUAAGAGCCACUACAAUCUUAGAAAAAUCCCCAAGUUUGGGAGCAACGCUGCCUGUUUCAGGUUUUUCCCAUGGCACAAAACAAAGUAGAAGAAUUCUCGCUGGAGAACAUGGAAACAUCCAAGAGAUUAGAAGAGAUCAUGGUCUCAGUGAGGGAUGGGUCGGCAUGCCAUCCUUGGAGAGGCCUGUGAAGAUUUCUUCUUCUACAUCCCGUGUUCCUUUAUAAUGUUUCCUCUUCAGGGGGAGCAAAAUCUUUAAGAUGUCGGAUUACCUAAACAACAAAGAAGUUUUAUUACAUUACAUGAUGAUAGCAAUAUCCCUGGGAUCACCUUCCAAGGAGACAAGUUCUCUUUUCUACUCCCGGUAGUUUUCGUUAAUCUGCUCGGUCACAAGCAAGUCAUAGAAAAUCACAUAGGAUAAAAGGAGAGAUUUGAGGUCCUUGGUGCUUGGCUCUGGGGCUCAAUCUCUGCCACCAAAUGUGGCUGCAGCACCAGCACCGCCAACCUCAUAUCAAACACCUCAGAUUUUGUACCGCCCAUAUAUCCUUUAACGUCCCAGCCAUGCCACAGCUAAGUACUGAAUCCCCAAAUCUCAGAACGUCACAGUCCUUCUCAGAUGCAUGCCCAGUCAGUGACUAUAAAAGUUGAGAGAUUAACUGAAGUACCUGUGCUUUUAAAUCAACAAAAUAUCCAAAAAAGCACCUGGUAGGGUAGGAGCAUGCAGAGAAAAUAUGUUUUUUUCUCUCCCAAUAGCACCAAUAGUCUCUUACCGAGAACUAACCUUUAUUAUCAGUUUAGGAGGCAAAAGUUAAUGAAAAUUUAGAAACACUGCAAUGAUUCUCUCCUUCAGCAGAGUGUAUCAUAUAAAAAACCAUUUGACUUUAAGUUAUUAAGCAAUUAAACCCAACGUGCAGUAUUCCCCUGAGUAACAUAACACUCAGACCCUGAAAUCAUUUUUCACUUUCAUCAUCCUGGGGAAAACAUGAUUCUUAAAAAUCCAUUAACAGAAUUCUGUGGUUAUAAAAUGUAUUGUUGCCCACAUGACACUUCUUUGUAGGUGUUGUAAAAAAAGCAAAAAAAAAAAAAAAAAAGACUUAGUUUCCAAUAAUGGUAAACCAACACUAAUUAGCUGUGUGACUUCGAGUGGGCCAUAUAACUUCUCUGAGCUUUGCCUCCCUCCCUAGUAAAAUUAGGGUAAGAGUACCUCCUUUAUAAGCAUAUAGGAAGUACUAAAUUAGUUAAGACAUGUGGAGAGUUUGCAUAAUGCCUACAUGUAGUUAUUAGCGGCCCCUAAAAGGUAGGCAAUUUUUAUAAUAGCAUCAUCAAUGACCAUUACUAUUAUGAUUUUUAAUUGUCAGUGAAUGCCAAGAACAUUCAAAGUGGAAUCAAAGAGGGGAGAUCCUAUCAUGUUAUUUUUCCUACUGCGCUUGAGGGUUACCCAAGAGCAGUAGACUCACCCCUCCAGCUUGGCCCACAUGCACAGCCCUCAAACAGUCCUGCUUGUCCCCAGAGAAAGUGGGAUUAACUAAGCCUGCAUUAAGGCCUCCUCGUAUUAGCUAGAAGGCUGAACAAUGAGGACUCACCAGCAGAAACCUUCCCUUCCCUUCCCUUGGACAGAAAACCCAUGCUUUAUCAAAAUACGUUGACCAAGAAAUAGCCAAGCAGUGCUUCCUAAAAUGUCUUCCACUCAGUGUUCUGCACGUUGUUGAUAUGUGUUCUGUGCCUAAAUUACUUGGUGGAAAGGUAAGAAGGCCAAAAAUCAAACAAACUUCUUUACAACAGGACUUUUUGGGGAACCUUUAAUAUGCCAGUGAGCCCUGUGGCUCCGCAGGAGAGGAAUAUAAUACGCAAACCUUCCAAAACAUAAUUGGCCAUGGAAUUCUCACGAAUGUCGCAAGGAACAAGCUUGAGAAAUGCUCGUUAGUAAAGGCUGAGAUUGGGGUCAGGACGGUUCCGGGAAGGGCAGAAGAGCGGGGGUGUGCAGGGAGCAAACCACUCUGGAGCCAGGCCAACAUCCGGGGCUCUGCCCCUCAUCUCUGAGAGAGGUUGGAGGGACGUGACAGGAGCCUCAAGGCUCGAAUCUGCCUCCCACUCGCUCCACCACCCUUGACCCAUCACUUGGUACAAACAAUUCUUCCAAACCAAAGAAACAAAAGGGCAAGAUCCCCUACUUGGAAAUCCUAUCACUAAGCCAAGAAAACAUUUUUUUUACAUUUUGAAGACAAGGCCAAGCAGGGCUAAAAGGAGGCUCCAACCAGGAUCUCAGUGGGGAACGUGUUCGCACCCUUCUGUGCAGAAAGUCUAAUUAGAUUUUUUUUCAAAACAGUCUUUGAAGCCCUAAGACAACAAUGUACAAAAAAAAAAAAUCUGGACAAAAUAUUCCUAAACAAAAACAAGGUUUGUUUUACAAGCCAAG